rnacentral:rRNA from 1 species
ACUCAAAGGAAUAGACGGGGGGCCGCACAAGCGGUGGAGCGUGUGGUUUAAUUCGACGAUAAGCGAAGAACCUUACCAGGGCUUGACAUCCCGGUCAUAUUUUCUGGAAACAGAAAAGUCGGUUAGGCCGGACCGGUGACAGGUGCUGCAUGGUCGUCGUCAGCUCGUGUCGUGAGAUGUUGGGUUAAGUCCCGCAACGAGCGCAACCCUCGUCGUAUGUUGUAUUUUUCAUACGAGACUGCCUGGGUUAACCAGGAGGAAGGCGGGGAUGACGUCAGAUCAGCAUGGCCCUUAUGCCCUGGGCGACACACGCGCUACAAUGGCCGGCACAAUGGGACGCGAAACCGCGAGGUGGAGCCAAUCCCAUCAAAGCCGGUCUCAGUUCGGAUUGGAGGCUGCAACUCGCCUCCAUGAAGUCGGAAUCGCUAGUAAUCGCGGGUCAGCCAUACCGCGGUGAAUACGUUCUCGGCCCUUGUACACACCGCCCGU